ACGACCUUACUUGAACAGGAUCUGUUCUAUAGGCUCGUAUCACUGUAUCCUUGAGUUCUAAGGAGACAGGAAACCAGGUCUGGUGGAUGAAUCGUGGCCAUUUGACCAGAGCGUGAUUAGCAGCAGCCCCAUAUCCUUCGGGUCAUUGAGCAGAGGUGGACCCAAGAUUUGAGCAUUACGGGGGCACUAUUAUAUUAAGCUUACCAAUUACUCCCCAAUGGCGGAUCCAUAAUUUUCGUUAAGGGGUUUUCAAAUA
rnacentral:snoRNA from 1 species